rnacentral:rRNA from 1 species
AGCAGUAGCCGCGGUAAUACGUAGGUGGCAAGCGUUGUCCGGAAUUAUUGGGCAUAAAGGGCUCGCAGGCGGUUUCUUAAGUCUGAUGUGAAAGCCCCCGGCUCAACCGGGGAGGGUCAUUGGAAACUGGGAAACUUGAGUGCAGAAGAGGAGAGUGGAAUUCCACGUGUAGCGGUGAAAUGCGUAGAGAUGUGGAGGAACACCAGUGGCGAAGGCGACUCUCUGGUCUGUAACUGACGCUGAGGAGCGAAAGCGUGGGGAGCGAACAGGAUUAGAUACCCCCGUAGUCCCUGUCUCUUAUAC